AUAAUCCAAGAAUAGUUUAGAUUUUAUCUAAGGACACAUGUCCCUAUCUUUUCAACUUAAACAUUUCUUGUGUAUGUAUUCAAUAUUCACUGCAUAGAAACAUAUUGAUGUUGCCUUUGCACAUGAAUAUCAUUGGGGUGGGGGAGGAGUUGUGAUUGACAGGUGAUGCAUAAAUAUUUCUAUCUCUGAUGUAAUAUAGUAGGUAACAUGGUUGAAACAUGGGAUUAAAAGAGUCUGUAUAAGAAUGAAAAAUAUAUUGGUGCAAAUGAUUAUUUUUUCUAUACUGUACUUAUUUGAUGACUUAAGGGGGAAGACCUUGGUUCAGGAGAUACUCUUUUAAAUCAGUUAUGCGCUUGUAACAGUCAAGUUUUGUCAAUGAAUUUUAAGCAUUUACCUGAAACAGAUUCGAAAUAAUCUUUGUAUCCUAGAAGCUUAGAACAUAUUUAUGAAAAUGGCUGACUCAAACAUACUGAUGAUUUUAAGAGUUAUUUCCCUUAACCUAGGUCUACCUCCUUAAGGCCAAUUUUGUUUUUUGUGUUACACGUUUAAGAGUUUAUAGACAAACACAUUCCAUGUUGAAUAUUUUGAAUAUUUAUAUAGUUUAUACUUCUUGAUAUUCCUUUGUUAUCAGGUUUUGAUGUCUUAUUAUUUUUUUGUAGAAAUUUUUAGAAAAUUCAAAACACAUGUAUUACUUUAUUUACUGCUUAUGUCAAAUAAACCAAUUUGAUAAACACUGUAGCUAUAAAGCAAAAUAACUUGUCAAUUUGAAGAAAAUGUAUAUGAUAUUCAUUUUAUUGUGCCUUCUCAAUAUUUUAAUUAUGCAAAACUAUUGAGCUGAUAUACAAUUUGCUCAUAUUUUAAAUAUAUCUAUUGCAUUUUACAGUGUACUGAGUUAUCUUUCCUUUACAAGUUUAGUAAAUACUAGAUUCUAUAGGUUACAAGAGCGCAAUUAUUUGUUUACAUUUUACCGGCAAAUUUUUUACCCCAAGAUGGUACUCAGAAUAGAAUCCUAUACGGCUUCUGAUUGGUUGAUACAGGAUUGGAAUUACAUUUAAUCGAAUUUAUCCAAUUAGGUUAAAAAACUGCAGAAAAUCAUAUUCACAUUUUACGAAGUACAGAAAAUAUCUUCCAUUUCUGCACGUCGGAGCCAUUAAAAAUAUGCCUUUUUCAUUAAGCGAAAAAAAUAGACGAUCUUUUUCAACUGCAUUUUAAGUCAAUUUGAGCCGCAUGACCUAUAUAUUUUUUUGGUUGUAAUGCAACACGGGCAUUUCUAGUAGCAGAAACUGCUACCCGUUUUCCCUAGUUUGUGUAGUCUUCGAGAAAAAAAAUAUGAAACACUAGUGGUACCCUAUAGAAAAUACAUAACGAAUAAUUGCGCUCUUGUAACCUAUAAAUGCAAUUUGAACAGAGUUAUUUCCCUUUUAUUACAAUUUUUGUGAUCUACGUGCACAAAUUCCUUCAUUAAUCUGCAAAAUUCAACUUAUCCAAACAGAUAGGUUAUAGAAAACGUUGUUUUCUGAGCAAUUUUAUGAUCUCUUAGGAUGUGCUUAGGUGAGGUUUGGAAUUCAUGUCAGAUGUUCAGACUCCUUGGCGUUUUUCCAUAAAAUACAAGGUAAAAUAUUUUGCUCCAUAACACCCGUUUAUUUUUUUAUAUAAGAAUUAAUAGCUCAUGAAAGGUCAUUUACCAAAAUUGUAGAAGAUUUUUGAUUUUCUUUCUUUUGUUUUGAGACCCAAAUAAUACCAAUGCAAAUAUAAGGUAAAAGUCAGAGUCAGCCUUUUCCUGCCAUAUUUUAAAUCUCAAAUCUUGAAAAGGAGGUCCAUAACCUAUCAAUAUUUUUAGCUUAUUUUUAUCCUUAACGAAUGCUUUACCUGCUUAUAGUAUCAAUUUUAAAUUCUUGAUUUAUUCAUUUUCACACAACCUCAUCCAAGUACAUCUCUAUGAUUUAGUAAGGAUCUUUCAACAGACUUAUUUGUACCACAUGUUUGAAUUUGUUCAGACAAAUAAAAAGAUGAACUAUUUUACUCCAAAAAUGAAAAUAUUGACCAAGGGAAGUAACUCAAACUAAAUAACAUCAAAUCAAAUCUAUAUUACAUCUUUGUCAUAGUUGAAUAUUUUUUUAAAAGAAGUAGACCAAAGUUGAGCAGUUAGGUUCUUUAUACAAAUGAUCAAAAUGAUCCUGUAAAUUCAGAAAUUAUUGGGUGCAUUUAUUAUUGUAAUUUUGUCAUUUUAGACUAAAAUGUGAUUUUAAUUUUUGCGAUAUUCAGAAAAAUUCUGUUUGAUUCAUAUAAAAAAAAUCAAAAUAGGAGUUUUAAUUUUUGCAAUUAUAAACCUGUCGCUUUUUGUGGCAAUAAUAAAAACAUGGCAAUUAUUUCUGAAUUACAGUAUUCAAAUCUAGUUUUCCCACCCUUAAACAAAACUUUGUCAUGUGAUAGUGAGUUAAGUUUUUUGAAUUAUGUUUUAUAGAAAUAUAUUUCUUGUUAAUAUAUUUAUAUCUAUAUUAUCUUUGUAUAUAAUUGAAUAAGUAAUUUGUCUUCCAAAGCAAUAAAUUUUCUGAUUUUGUUAUUUGUACACUGGUGUUCACUUUUUUUUCUAUAUGUUAGUUGGGAGCCUUUUUUAGUGGGCCUUGUUGGUGGGCCUUGUUGGCUGAGUGGUCCAAUAACUUAUCUAUAGUUAUAUGUAGC
rnacentral:lncRNA from 1 species